rnacentral:rRNA from 1 species
AUGGACCAGCAUCAUCAGGAGGAGUCGUGUGUUCCUCCAGGGUUUAGAUUCCACCCGACGGAGGUGGAGCUGGUGGGGUACUACCUGGCCAGGAAGGUGGCCGCCCAGAAGAUCGAGCUCGACAUCAUCCAAGAGGUCGAUCUAUACCGGAUCGAGUCAUGGGAUCUCCAAGGGAGGUGCGGCACGGGAGGGGGUGCGCGUCAGGUGGCGGAGGACGAGCUGUCGUCGUCGGAGUGGUACUUCUUCAGCUUCAAGGACCGCAAGUACCCCAGCGGCACACGCACCAACCGUGCUACGGCGGCCGGGUUCUGGAAGGCUAUCGGCAGGGACAAGCGGGUGACCUCGUCGAGGAGUCGCGGUGUCAUGGGCAUGAGGAAGACGCUGGUGCUCUUUUCCUACUGUAGAACACCAGCGGUAGGAGUCUUCCUACCCAACGGUAGGAAAACUGACUGGAUCAUCCACGAGUACCGCCGCCAGAACAGCCUGCACGCACCCACCCAGGAGGAAGGCUGGGUGGUGUGCCGGGCGUUCCAGAAGCCUAUCCCGAACCAGAGGCCGUCCUACAUCUUCCCCGCAUAUGGCCCCGCUCCGAGAUUCAGCCGCUACUAG